AACACUUCUCGGACUUUUGGCUAAGAUAAAGUGUUGUAUCUGUUCUUAUCAAUUAAAUAUUUGACACGUCUUUUGUACAAAAACCUUAUAUUAAACAGAUUUUUAGAUAAUAGAGCUGGAACAGGAGCUUUCUCCGUCCAUCUGAUCUACGCAUCAGCCUGGUAUCUCCAGGAGUAGUAGGUUCACU